rnacentral:rRNA from 1 species
GCCUGCGGCCAUGCCUCCUUUCAGCUACGUGCUCUUUGAACCUCACAAAUUCAGCAUGGGCAGGCCUGGUUGGUACUUGGAUGAGAAACCUCAAAGGAAAAUAGCCAGAUGUUGCAGGUC